GAGGCGGUAGCUCAGUGGUAGAGCGGGCGAUUGCAGCUUAUGCGACUCUCGUCAGGUCAUGUGUUCAAACCACAUUCGCCUCU
rnacentral:tRNA from 1 species